ensembl:lncRNA
GUGAGAGUAAACUGGCAGAGGGAGGGGGAGAACAGAACAAUGGGGAAAAACCCAUUAGGCAAUUAAUCUCUCUUAAUAAGAACAUUAACAUUCUCCAAGCGAGAGCAGAGGCAGUUUGGAACUAGUCAAUUUUCUCUUUUCCAUCUCUUGGUGGAUAAUUGGGAAUACUGAGUUGGGGCAGGAUUACGGUUCCCCAGGUAACUGCUAUGGAAGCAGAAGGGAACAGAUUUCUCUUCACCACACCUCCAGGGGAACAAAUGGCGUGAACGAAAGCAAGAGAAAGACUUGGAUCACGGACAUAAGAUAUAUUGAGGCAACCCUUUAAUGGAACGGAGGGUGCCGUCCUAGGUGAUCUCUGAAGAGCUCGUUUCUUUGGAGGGCUUUUUCAAGUUUCCUUUCAAAGCACACCUCACACCAGGAAUGUGAGGGAAAUGGAUGAAGAACACUAUAGACCAAUUUCAGAUCAUGAGGGGGAAAAAAUACUGUAUGGUUGACUGAAGAGAUGGCAAGGUUACGGGACCAGACAUCUGUUAUUUUUUUCUAAAGAGACCAAUAACACUCAAGGUUUAUAUGCUUGAUUACAAACAGGCACAAGCGGCAUGAAAAUAGAGCUGUUACUCUUUAAAAUUCAGAGCAGGAGAUGCCCAUAAAAAAAAAUUUGACACGGGAUCAGAGGACAACCUCAAUAUCAAGGAUUGGUUAUUAAAAAAUUCCCAGAAAACCUGGCAUCUACUUAUUUGUUAAAAUGCCCAAAUUACACAUGCUCAGAUAAAGAGAGAAGCUUGACCCCGCUACACGCUCCAUUUACCCAAAACAAGCUACUUAUUAACUACCCAUACUGGAUCUGUUUGCUUAGUGAAUAUAAAUAAAUAGAUGCGGGUUGGAAAAAAAAGACGACAAAUUGAGUCUUUUUUUAUUACACAGGUAACUGGUAUUUAAUAGGCAAAUAUGUAGUUAGUAACUGGUAUUUAAUAGGUAAGAGUGUAGUUAGUAACUGGUAUUUAAUAGGUAAGAGUGUAGUUAGUAACUGGUAUUUAAUAGGUAAGCGUGUAGUUAGUAACUGGUAUUUAAUAGGUAAGAGUGUAGUUAGUAACUGGUAUUUAAUAGGUAAGAGUGUAGUUAGUAACUGGUAUUUAAUAGGUAAGUGUGUAGUUAGUAACUGGUAUUUAAUAGUUAAGAGUGUAGUUAGUAACUGGUAUUUAAUAGUUAAGAGUGUAGUUAGUAACUGGUAUUUAAUAGGUAAGAGUGUAGUUAGUAACUGGUAUUUAAUAGGUAAGAGUGUAGUUAGUAACUGGUAUUUAAUAGGUAAGCGUGUAGUUAGUAACUGGUAUUUAAUAGGUAAGAGUGUAGUUAGUAACUGGUAUUUAAUAGGUAAGAGUGUAGUUAGUAACUGGUAUUUAAUAGGUAAGCGUGUAGUUAGUAACUGGUAUUUAAUAGGUAAGAGUGUAGUUAGUAACUGGUAUUUAAUAGGUGAGUGUAGUUAGUAACUGGUAUUUAAUAGGUAAGAGUGUAGUUAGUAACUGGUAUUUAAUAGGUAAGAGUGUAGUUAGUAACUGGUAUUUAAUAGGCAAAUAUGUAGUUAGUAACUGGUAUUUAAUAGGUAAGAGUGUAGUUAGUAACUGGUAUUUAAUAGGUAAGAGUGUAGUUAGUAACUGGUAUUUAAUAGGUAAGACUGCAGUUAGUAAAUGGUAUUUAACAGGUAAGUACUUUAUUGAGUACAAGUAAAUAUUGUAUAUAUUGUACGUAAGUGCAUAGCAACGUAUGUGGAAAAGCUCAGGUAGCACUCAUACUGGACAAAAACCAUGUAAAAAUAAAAAAUUCCCACCUUGUGCAACUGUGUACACAUGGAGGCCAUGCUAAUGCGAACAGGCAUUCAGUAUAGCCAGCCAAUUAAACAGCCUUUGAUUAGCUUCUAAUGAGAGUUCACACUCAUCUCUAGCCUGGGUCACUUGUUUUGCUUUGGUGGCCUGCUACAAAUGAGCUCUUUUUGCAAGGUUGCCUUCUGCUUGGUCCCCAAAAGACAAACACCUCCACAAUUAGUGUCUGUAAUUGUUCACCCAUCACCUAGACCAAAUGCACCUGUAAUUACAGUGUCCCCGAGCAUGUGCGCACACACAGACAGACAGAGAGACAGACAGACAGAGCAAUUCACACACAUUAGAUGAUGCAUG